rnacentral:rRNA from 1 species
GAUGAACGCUGGCGGCGUGCCUAAUACAUGCAAGUCGAGCGAACGGACGAUAAGCUUGCUUUUCUGAUGUUAGCGGCGGACGUGUGAGUAACACGUGGAUAACCUACCUAUAAGACUGGGAUAACUUCGGGAAACCGGAGCUAAUACCGUAUAAUAUUUUGAACCGCAUGGUUCAAAAGUGAAAGACGGUCUUGCUGUCACUUAUAGAUGGAUCCGCGCUGCAUUAGCUAGUUGUUAAGGUAACGGCUUACCAAGGCAACGAUGCAUAAACGACCUGUGAGGGUGAUAGGCCACACUGGAGCUGGGACACGGUCCAGAGUACUAAGGGAGGCAGCAGUAGGGAAUGUGCGGCAAUGGGCGAAAGCCUGACGGAGCAAGGCCACGUGAGUGAUGAAGGUCUUCGGAUCGUAAAACUCUGUUAUUAGGGAAGAACAUAUGUGUAAGUAACUGUGCACAGCUUGACGGUACCUAAUCAGAAAGCCACGGCUAACUACGUG